AUUGAACGCUGGCGGCAUGCCUUACACAUGCAAGUCGAACGGCGGCACGGGAGCAAUCCUGGUGGCGAGUGGCGAACGGGUGAGUAAAGUAUCGGAACGUGCCCAGUCGUGGGGGAUAACGUAGCGAAAGUUACGCUAAUACCGCAUACGAUCUAUGGAUGAAAGGGGGGGAUCGCACGACCUCGCGCGCUUGGAGCGGCCGAUAGCAGAUCAGGUAGUGGGUGGGGUAAAGGCUCACCAAGCCGCCGAUCUGUAGCUGGUCUGAGAGGACGACCAGCCACACUGGGACUGAGACACGGCCCAGACUCCUACGGGAGGCAGCAGUGGGGAAUUUUGGACAAUGGGCGAAAGCCUGAUCCAGCCAUGCCGCGUGCAGGAUGAAGGCCUUCGGGUUGUAAACUGCUUUUGUACGGAACGAAAAGGUUUGGCCUAAUAAGCUGAGCUCAUGACGGUACCGUAAGAAUAAGCACCGGCUAACUACGUGCCAGCCGCCGCGGUAA
rnacentral:rRNA from 1 species